GAACGCUGGCGGCAUGCUUUACACAUGCAAGUCGAACGGCAGCGGGGGCUUCGGCCUGCCGGCGAGUGGCGAACGGGUGAGUAAUGCAUCGGAACGUGCCCAGUCAUGGGGGAUAACUACGCGAAAGCGUAGCUAAUACCGCAUACGCCCUGAGGGGGAAAGCGGGGGAUCGCAAGACCUCGCGUGAUUGGAGCGGCCGAUGUCGGAUUAGCUGGUUGGUGGGGUAAAGGCCUACCAAGGCGACGAUCCGUAGCGGGUCUGAGAGGAUGAUCCGCCACACUGGGACUGAGACACGGCCCAGACUCCUACGGGAGGCAGCAGUGGGGAAUUUUGGACAAUGGGGGCAACCCUGAUCCAGCCAUGCCGCGUGAGUGAAGAAGGCCUUCGGGU
rnacentral:rRNA from 1 species